rnacentral:rRNA from 1 species
GACGAACGCUGGCGGCGUGCUUAACACAUGCAAGUCGAACGAUGAAGCCUUCGGGUGGAUUAGUGGCGAACGGGUGAGUAACACGUGGGUGAUCUGCCCUGCACUUUGGGAUAAGCCUGGGAAACUGGGUCUAAUACCGAAUAUGAUCAUGCUCUUCAUGGGGUGUGGUGGAAAGCUUUUGCGGUGUGGGAUGGGCCCGCGGCCUAUCAGCUUGUUGGUGGGGUAAUGGCACCAAGGCGACGACGGGUAGCCGGCCUGAGAGGGUAACCGGCCACACUGGGACUGAGAUACGGCCCAGACUCCUACGGGAGGCAGCAGUGGGGAAUAUUGCACAAUGGGCGCAAGCCUGAUGCAGCGACGCCGCGUGAGGGAUGACGGCCUUCGGGUUGUAAACCUCUUUCAGCAGGGACGAAGCGAAAGUGACGGUACCUGCAGAAGAAGGACCGGCCAACUACGUGCCAGCAGCCGCUGUAACAC